UUGGCACAUCCUUUAAAUCAUCACUCUCUACUCUUCAGUGGAAACACAUUUUUUAAUCGCAGACAUUUCAACAAGGACAACAAACAGGUAAGCAACUGCCCCGUAAGCCUGCUCGGAGGCGUCACAGAACACAUGGAUGUCUCGCUUACUGGUAGGUUGAUCCAUCUCCGCACUAGUGUAACAUCGAGGAAGGGAAAUCUUCUCCAGGCUGCUCAGUUCUGCCUCCCACACACGCCAGGAUUGGAGUAGCUCUUCGGGCUCCAUCUCUACACCAGCACAAUCAUCAACAUCAGAACCCAUCUCAACAUCAUCCACGGAAUCAAUAACCUUUAGCACACAGGCUUCAACAUCAGUCGCUAUCUCUGCUUCAUCUCCACAAGCAGCUACAACUCCUACAUCUACUUCAGAGGCCAUCACAUCCCCAGUAACAUCAACACCAAAUGUCCCAUCAACAUCAGUAACGCCACAUACAAAUCCGACAACAAUCUCCUUAACAACUGGCUCCAUCUCAACACCAGCACAAUCAUCAACAUCAGAACCCAUCUCAACAUCACCUCAAACGUCCCAUUCAACAUCUCUAUCCACGGAAUCAAUAACCUUUAGCACACAGGCUUCAACAUCAGUCGCUAUCUCUGCUCCAUCUCCACAAGCAGCUACAACUCCUACAUCUACUUCAGAGGCCAUCACAUCCCUAGUAACAUCAACACCAAAUGUCCCAUCAACAUCAGUAACGCCACAUACAAAUCCGACAACAAUCUCUUUAACAACUGGCUCCAUCUCAACACCAGCACAAUCAUCAACAUCAGAACCCAUCUCAACAUCACCUCAAACGUCCCAUUCAACAUCUCUAUCCAC